UACGUAGGGUGCGAGCGUUAAUCGGAAUUACUGGGCGUAAAGCGUGCGCAGGCGGCGCGUUAAGACAGGUGUGAAAGCCCCGAGCUUAACUUGGGAAUUGCGCUUGUGACUGGCGAGCUGGAGUGUGGCAGAGGGAGGUGGAAUUCCACGUGUAGCAGUGAAAUGCGUAGAGAUGUGGAGGAACACCGAUGGCGAAGGCAGCCCCCUGGGCUGAGAUUGACGCUCAGGCACGAAAGCGUGGGGAGCAAACAGG
rnacentral:rRNA from 1 species